GGGGGGGAAGAAAAUAGAGACUAGAUUACGGAAGAAAAGAUUAAAGAGAAAUACAUUUUUUCUUUGAAUAUAAAGGUGUUUUUUUAUUUUAUUUUUUUCGGUGUUCAUUUUCUAUGUUUAUUAUUGAUUUAUAAAAGGAAGAGAGGGAAGCGAAGUUUACCUCCGUGUUUGGGCCGCCGUUUUGGGACCAACUCUGCCGUAAUCAGAGCUCUGGUACAAGAGCCGACGAGCGACGGCUCAAAAGGAAAAAGAGUUUUUUAAAAAAAACCCUAGCAGAGAGUUUUAGGUUUUAUUUUAUUUUAUUUUAUUUUUUGCUACAGAUUUUAAAAAAAAGGAAGAAAAACUGAUUUAAAUAGCAAAGACCAAACGACGCCAUUUU
rnacentral:lncRNA from 1 species